GAUCCUGGCUCAUAUUGAACGCUGGCGGCAUGCCUUACACAUGCAAGUCGAACGGUAACAGGUCUUCGGACGCUGACGAGUGGCGAACGGGUGAGUAAUACAUCGGAACGUGCCCAGUCGUUGGGGAUAACUACUCGAAAGAGUAGCUAAUACCGCAUACGAUCUGAGGAUGAAAGCGGGGGACCUUCGGGCCUCGCGCGAUUGGAGCGGCCGAUGGCAGAUUAGGUAGUUGGUGGGAUAAAAGCUU
rnacentral:rRNA from 1 species